AUUGAACGCUGGCGGCAUGCCUUGCACAUGCAAGUUGAACGGCAGCACGGGUGCUUGCACCUGGUGGCGAGUGGCGAACGGGUGAGUAAUACAUCGGAACAUGUCCUGUAGUGGGGGAUAGCCCGGCGAAAGCCGGAUUAAUACCGCAUACGAUCUACGGAUGAAAGCGGGGGACCUUCGGGCCUCGCGCUAUAGGGUUGGCCGAUGGCUGAUUAGCUAGUUGGUGGGGUAAAGGCCUACCAAGGCGACGAUCAGUAGCUGGUCUGAGAGGACGACCAGCCACACUGGGACUGAGACACGGCCCAGACUCCUACGGGAGGCAGCAGUGGGGAAUUUUGGACAAUGGGCGAAAGCCUGAUCCAGCAAUGCCGCGUGUGUGAAGAAGGCCUUCGGGUUGUAAAGCACUUUUGUCCGGAAAGAAAUCCUUGGCUCUAAUACAGUCGGGGGAUGACGGUACCGGAAGAAUAAGCACCGGCUAACUACGUG
rnacentral:rRNA from 1 species